ensembl:lncRNA
CAGAAAGAGGCCAACUGGUUCACUAGCAUGGCUGUGGAGCAGCAGAAAACAGAGAGAGGCCAACUGGUUCACUAGCAUGGCUGUGGAGCAGCAGAAAACAGAGGGAGGCCAACUGGUUCAAUAGCAUGGCUGUGGAGCAGCAGAAAACAGAGGGAGGCCAACUUGUUCACUAGCAUGGCUGUGGAGCAGCAGAAAACAGAGGGAGGCCAACUGGUUCACUAGCAUGGAUGUGGAGCAGCAGCAAACAGAGGGAGGCCAACUGGUUCACUAGCAUGGCUGUGGAGGAG